rnacentral:rRNA from 1 species
UACGUAGGGGGCAAGCGUUGUCCGGAAUUAUUGGGCGUAAAGAGCGUGUAGGCGGUCCGGUAAGUCAGCUGUGAAAAGUCAAGGGCUCAACCCUUGAAUGCCGGUUGAUACUGUCGGGCUCAGUCCGGAAGAGGCGAGUGGAAUUCCCGGUGUAGCGGUGAAAUGCGCAGAUAUCGGGAGGAACACCGGUGGCGAAGGCGGGUCUCUAGGCCGACACUGACGCUGAGAAGCGAAAGCGUGGGGAGCGAACAGG